GAUGAAGAACGUAGCGAAAUGCGAUAAGUAAUGUGAAUUGCAGAAUUCAGUGAAUCAUCGAAUCUUUGAACGCACAUUGCGCCCGCCAGUAUUCUGGCGGGCAUGCCUGUUCGAGCGUCAUUUCAACCAUCAAGCCCCCCCGGCUUGUGUUGGGGACCUGCGGCUGCCGCAGGCCCUGAAAAGCAGUGGCGGGCUCGCUGUCACACCGAGCGUAGUAGAUCUCAUCUCGCUCAGGGCGUGCUGCGGGUUCCGGCCGUUAAACCACCUUCAUAACCCAAGGUUGACCUCGGAUCAGGUAGGAAGACCCGCUGAACUUAAGCAUAUCAUAAGCGGAGGA
rnacentral:misc_RNA from 1 species